AAUGAACGCUGGCGGCGCGCCUAAUACAUGCAAGUCGAGCGAGAAGACGUAGCAAUACGUUUGUAAAGCGGCGAACGGGUGAGGAAUACAUGGGUAACCUACCCUCGAGUGGGGAAUAACUAGCCGAAAGGUUAGCUAAUACCGCGUACGCUUCUUGGACUUCGGUUCAGGGAGGAAAGCGAUGCCGAGGGUAUCGCGCUCUUGGAUGGGCUCAUGUCCUAUCAGCUUGUUGGNGAGGUAACGGCUCACCAAGGCUUCGACGGGUAGCUGGUCUGAGAGGACGAUCAGCCAC
rnacentral:rRNA from 1 species